rnacentral:rRNA from 1 species
GCCUGCCCAGUGACCCAAUUCAACGGCCGCGGUAUCCUGACCGUGCGAAGGUAGCGUAAUCACUUGUUCUUUAAAUAAGGACUAGUAUGAACGGCACCACGAAGGCUGUACUGUCUCCCGCCUCUAAUCAGUGAACUUAAUCUCCCCGUGAAGAAGCGGGGAUAAAACCAUAAGACGAGAAGACCCCAUGGAGCUUAAAACAAAAGGCACCUGCUAACAACAAAGUUAAGCGACUUGACCUGACGUUUUCGGUUGGGGCGACCACGGAGAACAACCCACCCUCCAUGCUGAAAGAUGAUAAUCUUAGCCAAAACAACCCAUUUAAGCACCAGAAUCCUGACAUUCAUUGACCCAAUCUAAUUGAUCAACGAACCAAGUUACCCUGGGGAUAACAGCGCAAUCCACUUCGAGAGCCCCUAUCGACAAGUGGGUUUACGACCUCGAUGUUGGAUCAGGGUUCCCAAGUGG